rnacentral:tRNA from 1 species
GGGAAUGUGGCUCAGUGGUAGAGUGCCUGCCUACCAUGCAGGAAGCCCUAGGUUUGCUUCUUUAGUACCA